rnacentral:rRNA from 1 species
AGAGUUUGAUCCUGGCUCAGAUUGAACGCUGGCGGCAUGCCUUACACAUGCAAGUCGAACGGUAACAGGUGUAGCAAUACAUGCUGACGAGUGGCGGACGGGUGAGGAAUGCUUGGGAAUCUGCCUGUUAGUGGGGGACAACCCGGGGAAACUCGGGCUAAUACCGCAUACGCUCUACGGAGGAAAGCGGGGGACCGUAAGGCCUCGCGCUAACAGAUGAGCCCAAGUCGGAUUAGCUAGUUGGUGGGGUAAAGGCCUACCAAGGCAACGAUCCGUAGCUGGUCUGAGAGGACGAUCAGCCACACUGGGACUGAGACACGGCCCAGACUCCUACGGGAGGCAGCAGUGGGGAAUAUUGGACAAUGGGGGAAACCCUGAUCCAGCAAUGCCGCGUGUGUGAAGAAGGCCUGCGGGUUGUAAAGCACUUUUGGCAGGGAUGAAAAGCACUGGAUUAAUAACCCAGUGUGUUGACCUAACCUGCAGAAGAAGCACCGGCUAACUCUGUGCCAGCAGCCGCGGUAAUACAGAGGGUGCAAGCGUUAAUCGGAAUUACUGGGCGUAAAGCGCGCGUAGGCGGUCGAGUAAGUCGGAUGUGAAAUCCCCGGGCUUAACCUGGGAAUUGCAUUCGAUACUGCUUGGCUAGAGUGUGGAAGAGGGAAGCGGAAUUUCCGGUGUAGCGGUGAAAUGCGUAGAUAUCGGAAGGCACACCAGUGGCGAAGGCGGCUUCCUGGUCCAACACUGACGCUGAGGCGCGAAAGCGUGGGGAGCGAACAGGAUUAGAUACCCCGGUAGU